CCACUGCCCUCUGGCCUGGGUGACAGCAAGCCUCUGUCUCCAAAAAAAAAAAAAAAAAAGUCUAAUUGCCGAAAUCUGCAAUCUGCAUAUAAUAUAAUCCCACUUACUUACGAGUUUUACAGUGUCCAUGCUGUGUACCUGUGUGUUCAAACUCAGCCUAUUAAUCAAGUAUUAAUUACACUAUUGUAAUGUUCUCAUAUCCACUUCCUGUUCCUUUUGUAGUGAGCUCCAGUGUUGCGGGUAUCCACUUAAAACACCAGGCGAUGCCCAUCAUCUCCACAGGAGGAGUUUGUCUUGCCGAUGCAGCAGGAGUUGCAAGACAGUACAACUACAGAGAUACAAAAAGCCAGCAGACUGAAACUGUUCUCAGAAAACAAAGGAAUCAUCGACUUCCUGGGUUUAUGGUGGUGAUUUAAGGCCAAGAGACAGACUCCAGGCUCAUCUAGUAACACUCAGGCUACUCCAGUUCAAAGGCAGCCACAUGACAGGUGACAUUUUAAAUCUCCAGUCAUUUACUUUGUCAUUGGUUUACUUUUGCCCCCAGGAAAGGUUCCAGAUUCCUAGCAUGGAGUAAAAAUAUCCAAAUCAGUUUGGCUCCUGUCAAGUUAUUCAGCCUCAUCUCUCAUCACUUGCCAUACUCUGCCCCUUCGCUCUAGCAUCUCGCCAAAGUUGGCUACGCAGAACACAGGGAACUUCCUCAGCUCCAGCUCUCUGUAUGUGUUCUUCCCGCCAUCAGAAAAAUAAACUAAUCUCUAAGAAGAGAUUCAGGUCUCCUAA